AAAAAAAAACUGGCCCCAGAGAUUUUAUUCUUGAGUUCCUAAUUAACACCAUUUUGUGCACAGAUUGUGCCCAUUUAGUUUAAGUUUGUGAGUCUAGUGUCCUCUGAGCUCUUAGGAACAAUUUCAAAUUCACAAAAAUCCUAAAACUCAUCCACAAGUAACAGACAUUUAUCACACAUGAACUUAGCACAAACUAUGUCAAAGAAUUAACCAUGUUAUAUGUUCUAGCAGUUUAUUCUUCUCAAUGCAUUCAGAUCGGAUGUCUUUAUUUAAAAACAUAGUCAUUAUUCUGUUGGUGUUAAAUUCAAAUGAAUGACAGUGGACCUUAAAUUUUGUGAUACUUAUCAGAAAACAGAUAGUACUGUAUUUAUACGGUACUGCAUGCAUAGAAACAUACCACACAAGACCUAAUUUUUUAGAUCUGUAAAGAAAUGUGGGUAGACAAAUCUCUUGUGGGUAGACAGCAUGUGCAUACGUAUGUGCUUAUUACUGGACGUUUGUGGUUAAUGUGCAUCUGUGUGUGCAUGUCUUGAGGCGUGAAUAGUGUGAGUGUGUGUUCCUGUGAAUCGCUUGAAGCUGGGGAACUUCCACAAUUUCACUUCCUCUUUCUGAGAAACAAAGUUUUACUGCAAAGUAAAGAAUGCCAAAUGUUUGUCAAAAACGCUCUCUGUGAGAUCUUACUGUGUAAAUGUGAAAUAUUAGAAAUAUAUCAUAUACUGAAAUGUAAGAUUGAUAUUUAGUGUCAUACACAUCGCUCUAUAUAUUCAUGACUUUAUUAAUACUAAUGCAGUGACCCUGCAGAUAAGAAGUGUUAGUUUCAGUGAGUUAUUUCCAGCUUCAGCAACACUUUAUUUCUGAGAAGUUUCCACUGAUCUUGUGAUCACAGAUAGUUUAACAUAUCUGUUUUGUGAUGAGUGUCAUGUCGGUCUGUCAGUUUCAAAGACAAAAACAAGUGAAGCAUUUUAAAAAUAAAAGCAUUGCAAUGCAUGAUUUAAUGCUUGUU
ensembl:lncRNA